UGGGGUUGUGGCUCAAUGAUACAGCGCUUGCCUAGCAUGUGUGAGGCACUGGGUUCAAUCCCCAGCACCACAA
rnacentral:tRNA from 1 species